ensembl:misc_RNA Metazoa_SRP Metazoan signal recognition particle RNA
GACAGGCAUGGUGGCACGCGCCUGUAGUUCCAGCUGCUCUGGAGGCUGAGGCAGGAUGAUCGCUUGAGCCCAUAGCUUCUGGGCUAUACCCAUUGGGUUUCCACACUAAGUUUGGCAUCAGUUUGGUGACCUUCUGGAGCAGGAGACCACCAGGUUGCCUAAGGAGAAGUGAACUGGCUUAGGUUGGAAACAACAGGUCAAAACUCCUGUGCUGAUCAGUAGUGGGAUUGCACUCCAGCCUUGGCAACCUAGCAAGACCCAAUCUAUU